rnacentral:rRNA from 1 species
CAGUCGCCGCGGUAAUACGAAGGGGGCUAGCGUUGCUCGGAAUGACUGGGCGUAAAGGGCGCGUAGGCGGCGAUCAAAGUCAGGCGUGAAAUUCCUGGGCUCAACCUGGGGGCUGCGCUUGAUACUUGGUUGCUUGAGUGGGGAAGAGGGUCGUGGAAUUCCCAGUGUAGAGGUGAAAUUCGUAGAUAUUGGGAAGAACACCGGUGGCGAAGGCGGCGACCUGGCUCAUACUGGACGCUGAGGUGCGAAAGCGUGGGGAGCAAACAGGAUUAGAUAUCCCUGUAGUCCCUGUCUCUUAUAC